CAACACUGCGGUCUCAGACUUCUAGCCUCCAGAACUGGCAGAAAAUAAUUAUCUGUGGCUUGAGCCGCCUAGUUCGCAGUACUUGCUCCCCAACCUAUCUGGAAGACCCCCUUGCAGGCUGCAACCCUUUAUAAAAAAUAGAGAGGUCUUCUGGCAAUGUUCUCUUUAACCCAUGAUGAGAAUUAAGAGGACUUUUGACUAAUUAUGAGGCAAUGAAUGUACCAUUAAAGUUUCUCACCUACAUUGGAACUUUAUCUUUUAACUAUCACCAUAUAAGGUUAUUUAUGUAGAAAGCUGGCUAAGAAAGUCCUUCACAAAUAAAAGUGCACCCUAUAAGUGCACAUAAUAG
rnacentral:lncRNA from 1 species